GGAAAGUGGGAAGUAGUUUUACACAUGCAUUAGUGGUGGACCCAUCAAAGUUGUAUUUGGCAGCUCUCAAUUUAACUUUGUCCCGCUACUUGGUAACAAGAUCCAAUUAUAUGACAAAGCACAAACGCCUUCAUUGGUUUGGAAAAAGGAAAAGAGAAAGUAAAGAAAAUAAACAGUAUUCUGAUAUAAUUGCAACGGUCAUCUCUAUUCAACUAAUAAUAGGAGUAAUAAUCAGUCUUUCUUCUUAUCUUCAUUCUCUCUCUCUCUCUCUAGUGCAUUACCACAUCAGUUCUUCUCUCUUUGCAUAUAUAUAUAUAUAUACACACACACACACACAUAUAUUGAUAACGUUAUCAGGCCGGCGAUGGAUUAUGGCAAUUGGCUGAAUCAGCAGCGUCCGAACGGCAGGCAGGCGGUGGGUGAUUAUGACAUGCUGGCGGCGGGUCUUGGGAACGAGUUGGUGGCGGGUGUUAUGAACGUUUUCCAGGUAUACCUCCAGCCGCCGCCGACGCCACCACCACCACCACCGCAGGCGGUUGGCAUAGAGAGAAAUGUUAGAAAGGAUCGCGUGGUGAAGGCGCCACGCGGGAAGGGGAAGGCUGGAGGCCAUGUUGUUCAAAACAAUAGGGCGAAGGAAAUCACUUGAUAGUUGGCGUUUGUGUUAAGAGGGAUCUUGUACAUCAGAUCGGAAUUUAAAAAGGGGGCUUGGGCGCGAGUAGCCGAAAGGAAAUGUGUGGUUUUCUUGAGGAAUUUAAGAUUGAAAAGGGCAAGGGUAAGGGCAAAGACAAGGGCCAAAGUUCUCAUCAUCUCAUACAAGAGUCAUAUACUCAUCAUGUAUGUCAUAGCUCAACGAAAACCACAAAACAGAGGGUUACUACAAGCUCCAUGACAGCCUCAAAGAAAAGUACCACCAGACAGAUUGAAAAGGGCAAGUGCAUGUGCAAGUGCAAGUGCAAUACAAGCAUGAGGGUUACUACAAGCUCUAUGAAAAUCUCAAAGAAAACUAGCACAAGAGAGAUUCAAAAGGGCAAGGGCAAAGACAGUGGCAAUAGAAAGGGUAGAAAAAAUUAUUAAAUAAUGGUGCUGGAAGGGGAUUUGUUAGAGGCAGAGACAUGCAAUCACAUGGUGGAAGCAACACUCAAUUUGAGUAUUUUGCUAUGUACUCGCUACUAUUUUUGUACUGAUGAUGGUUUGAACAUUGCAAUUGUUUUGUCUAAACAAUGAGCCUCUCUGUUGUGUUAAUAUAAGUACUGUUUGGGUUCA